rnacentral:lncRNA from 1 species
GCCUUGUCCUGACAGCUGGAGGAGGAAAAAAAAAAAAACAACAGUUGCUAGCUAAAACUCAUUCUGAACAGCUGAAAUGCAUUGAUCCUUCCAAAAUCAGAGUUUUUUGUUUGGGCCUAUUUGACACCAAAAGGCUCUGUAAAAUAUGAAGCAUUAAAAUCAGUCCAUUCUUUUAAGGGAAUUUACUCACCAGUGCUUUUAAGCAGAGAAGUCUGGGGUGAGGAGAGCAGUUCUACAUGUUUUUGUGAACCAGAAGCCCUGAGACAAAGCAUUAAUUUUAAAUUACAGUCUAUCACCUUAUCUCUACUUUCCAGGUGUGUAUAAAUGAGCAUUUAUCAAUGCUGACCUCUUCUGUGCUUCUUAUUGAUUUCUGCAAUACUCUACUGGGCUAUGCAUGGCUCUCUGCAACAAGGGUCUCUCAUACCGGAUAAGACAGCACAACUCGGAAUAACAACUAAUGAAAACCAAACAACAACAACAAAAAAAAAACAACAAAAAAAACCACAGUUAAGUCAACAGCUCAAAAAUCCUAUAAAAAAAAGUUGCAAACACGUGAUUUCUGUGUGAAUUAUCAGGGUGCAUAUCCUUUUAUUUUUAAAGUGUAAAUAUCACUACGGAUGUUGUUGUUUCACAGUUCUCUUGCAUUUCAGUGAUUUCCAAUUGUACUGCCUAGGAAUUAUUAUUUUUUUCCCCCUCAUCAUAGCCAAAUUAAGGUGGAACAGUCAUCUCUUGCAAGUUGAUACUUGUCUUCUGAAUGUAAUUAGCUAAAAUUAGCUCUAUCCUCUACCAUGUUGGUGUAGGACUAAUUAUCUUCUAAAAGCAAAUCCAGAUUUCCAGUGGCAAGCAUGGGCCCUAUUUUUUGAAGAACAAACAUGUUUUCUCCUCUGAUUUCUAUAAUAUACUAGCUUAUACACUGAGCACGUAUCCUCCACCAGCCCUUUUCCCUGGUGCCUCUGAGCCUCUACCAGUGUUAACUUCCUCAGGAAGAGACAUAACACUGCCUGCACCUGGAUCAUGCAAGACUCAGGCCAGAACCUUGCCCACUUUGAGGCUUCUCAUGUGCUGAGUGGCAUUUGAGGAGCGAAGGAUAUAAAGCCUUUAUUGUCUCCAUCGAUGUGUCUCUUUGUUGUACCACUGGUUAUCAAGCAAAAGAGCACUAAUCUUGGUGUUUCAAACCCAGCAAUCUUUAGGAAACUUCUCAAAAUGGUUUUCAAAAUUUUACUAUUUCAAUAUGGUGUUCCAUACAUUUCCUCUUAAUUCUACAUGCUGUAUAUUUAAUGUGAAUGGAAUGAAUGGAAAAAAAUGUAAUGCAUUCUACAGUGCUUUCAGGAUUUAUAAUAUGCAGGCAGAAGUCUAAUUUUUCAACAACUUUGAAUCUUACCGAAGCCACUUCAAAACAGGAUUUGCUUUCCAAUUCUAAAUAGCCUCUCUGAUUUCAUUCAGCAUGAGUCUUGUUGCUUUUCUAGUAUUUACUGAUUCACUAAAGUUAUAAUAAAAAGGAAUAUAUUUUGUUGGUAAGCUGUCCU